ACACUUUGAUCCUGGCUCAGAACGAACGUUAGCGGCGCGCCUAACACAUGCAAGUCGCACGAGAAAGGGCUUCGGCCCCGGUACAGUGGCGCACGGGUGAGUAACACGUAGGUAAUCUGCCCUUGGGUGGUGGAUAACCCUCCGAAAGGAGGGCUAAUACAGCAUGAGACCACGGUAUCUCCGGAUGCCGCGGCCAAAGUAGGCCUCUCUACAGAAGCUUACGCCAGAGGAUGAACCUGCGGCCCAUCAGCUAGUUGGUAAGGUAACGGCUUACCAAGGCAAAGACGGGUAGCUGGUCUGAGAGGAUGAACAGCCACACUGGAACUGAAACACGGUCCAGACUCCUACGGGAGGCAGCAGUGAGGAAUUUUGCGCAAUGGGGGCAACCCUGACGCAGCAACGCCGCGUGAGUGAAGAAGGCCUUUGGGUCGUAAAGCUCUGUCAAUCGGGAAGAAAUUACAAGAGUCGAAUAGGCUUUUGUAUUGACGGUACCGGUGAAGGAAGCAUCGGCUAACUCCGUGCCAGCAGCCGCGGUAAUACGGGGGAUGCAAGCGUUAUUCGGAAUUAUUGGACGUAAAGGGCGCGUAGGCGGUUUUGUCGGUCAGAUGUGAAAGCCCAGGGCUCAACCCUGGACGUGCAUUUGAAACAGCAAGACUUGAGUACGGGAGAGGAAAGCGGAAUUCCUGGUGUAGAGGUGAAAUUCGUAGAUAUCAGGAGGAACACCGAUGGCGAAGGCAGCUUUCUGGACCGAUACUGACGCUGAGGCGCGAAGGCGUGGGUAGCGAACAGGAUUAGAUACCCUGGUAGUCC
rnacentral:rRNA from 1 species